AAUACAUUUAAAUACCCCCCCCCCGCCCCCUUUAGAGUAACUCAAAUAAGGUACAGCCUAUUUGACACAGGAUCCAACCUUUACCUCAGGGUAAAUUCUUCCCCCACACCCCAAGUGGGCCUAACAGCAGCCACCUUUAAAAAAGCGUCAAAGCUUAACACUUACAAUAAUUUAACUAACCCAGUUAACCCCUACAGACACAUUGAGAAAUUCUAUAACUUUAUAGAAGCUAUUAUGCUAAAACUAGUAACAAGAGGAUCAACCUCUCUUUAAUGCGAACAUAAGUCAGAAAGGACUUACCACUGACACUCACCAAAGAAGUAGAAACUCUUCUAGAAAACCCUACUUAAUCAAAUGUUAACCUAACACAAGAGCAUUACCAGAAAGAUUAUAAGAAAAAGAAGGAACUCGGCAAAUAUAAGUUCCGCCUGUUUACCAAAAACAUCGCCUCCUGUACUCAUAGGAGGUCCAGCCUGCCCAGUGACCCAGUUCAACGGCCGCGGUAUCCUAACCGUGCAAAGGUAGCGUAAUCACUUGUUUUCUAAAUAAAGACUAGUAUGAAAGGCACCACGAGAUCCAAACUGUCUCCCUUUUCUAAUCAGUGAACCUAAUCUCCCCGUGAAAAAGCGGGGAUUACCCAAUAAGACGAGAAGACCCUAUGGAGCUUUAAACACUAUUACACCUGCAAAAUUAACACCAAAAUGUUUUAUAUGCACCAUGAUUAUAUGUUUUCAGUUGGGGUGACUGCGGAGAAAACCCAAUCCUCCAUGAUGAACGGCCUUACGCCUAAACAAUAAGUCACAACUUUAAGUAUCAAUAAAUUGACUCCAUUGACCCAAUACAUUGAUUAACGAACCAAGUUACCCUAGGGAUAACAGCGCAAUCCACUUCAAGAGCCCCUAUCGACAAGUGGGCUUACGACCUCGAUGUUGGAUCAGGGUAUCCUAGUGGUGCAGCCGCUACUAAGGGUUCGUUUGUUCAACGAUUAAAACCCUACGUGAUCUGAGU
rnacentral:rRNA from 1 species